AGGACGAACGCUGGCGGCGUGCUUAACACAUGCAAGUGGAGCGACGAACCAGGGCUUGCCCUGGGGCAGAGCCGCGAACGGGUGAGUAACACGUGGGUUACCUGCCUUGAUGACCGGGACAACCCGAGGAAACUCGGGCUAAUACCGGAUGUGCCCGCAAGGGGAAAGGAAGCUUCGGCCUCCGCAUCAAGAUGGGCCCGCGGCCCAUUAGCUUGUUGGUGAGGUAACGGCUCACCAAGGCUUCGAUGGGUAGCUGGUCUGAGAGGACGAUCAGCCACACUGGGACUGAGACACGGCCCAGACUCCUACGGGAGGCAGCAGUGGGGAAUCUUGCGCAAUGCGCGAAAGCGUGACGCAGCAACGCCGCGUGGGGGAAGAAGGCUUUCGGGUUGUAAACCCCUUUCAGUUGGGACGAAGCUUCUCCGGUGAAUAGCCGGACGGAGUGACGGUACCUUCACAAGAAGCACCGGCUAACUACGUGCCAGCAGCCGCGGU
rnacentral:rRNA from 1 species